CAACCAAGUCAAAAAUGCUCCAAAAAAGGUAACCAAUUCCAAUUUAUCUCAUCCAUCAUCAUUAUAGGUAAUUACUUCAUAACCUAUAAGUUAUCCCAUAAAAUAGAGAUUAAUUGGCUAAUUAAUGAAUUAAUUCCUAAUUAAUUCAUUAAUCACCAAAUUUAUCACCAAAUUAACCACAAAAUACAUCCAAUUCAACCCUAAAGCUAGUCAAAACCGGUCACCAUCCUUUCUCUUUACCUUUUUCCAUUUUUCCCUCUUUAUUAUCCCAUUUAUGCAAAUUAAUCAAUUUGGUAACCACCAAUUUAUUCCUUUAGGGUUAAUUAGCCAAUAAAUUGGCUAAUUAAACCAAAAUUUCAACCUAAAAAUCCCCAUUAAGGUCGGCCAUUUCUUCUCAAAAAAUGGACAAGCCUAACCCUAUAAAUAGGUUCCUAUUUUCACCAAAAACUCAUUCCAACACUUCGGCAAAAAUCCCAAAAUUAUCUAAACACUCUUUCUCUCUAAAUUCUAACUUUGGCAUCGGAGGUUCUUCGGCCAAAGCCCCCCCCAUUCAUCGUGGGCGCGUGAGGCUCUUAGCCUUAACCUAAGGUGUUAAUUGUUUUAUAGGUGCAAAAUUGUCCAAGAUCAAGGAGGAAGAAAUUUGCAUCCACAAAUUGGUGCUUUCAUUGAGAGUUGAAAUCCAUACUCGUAGAAGACUCUCGCACAAAAAUGUUUUUUCUUUAUUUUCUAGUCCAUUUGAAUAUUUUUCAUACGUUAUUAUUAGAAUUUUUUACUUGCAAAGUUUCUUUGAUAAAACGUAUAAGAAAAAUAUAAUGGCUAGAAAUUUAGAAAAUUCCACAAGUGAAAAUUCUAAUAUUUAAGAAAUGGGAUUGCGGAGAUCCGUGAGGCUAAAUGCGACAAUAAGUGGAGCAGCACCACCACCACGAGUUUCCACCACGGGAACCACCGCGGUGGCUACCUCAGUAGUCACCAGUGGCGAGGUCCAUGGUGCCUUCACCACGGCCCGAGCCGUGCCAUCCAAGGCUCACGGCACCAAGGCCACGACCCAAGCCAUGUCACUCCAAGCCUAACGUGAAUUCAACGCGUUGCCAAGCCAAGCCCAAACCUCACACCCAUGUGCAUCACACUCCGAGCAGCCUACUCCUGUGGUCCAGCCUGUUCCAGCCGAGCAGCCCACUCCCGUGGCCCAGCCUGUUCCCGAUGAGCAGCCUACUCUCACAACCCAGCUUGCUCUCGAGUCCCAGCCUGCUCAUGCGGCCCAGUCUGCUCCCGUGGCUUUCCAAGCAGCCCAAGUCGGCCCAAGACUAUCUCAACCAUCCGGACCUGCCAUCGAGCCGGGGGCAUUCUCACCACAUUUUUCCACCAAUUUGACAUUUCCCAACUCAAAUCUCGUGCCCGGAGUCUACCACUCUUCCAUUGCCCAAGGAGGCACAUUCCUUCCAAGCUCUUCCAACCCAAAUGGAGAACAACACUUGUCUCGACAAGUCAUAGAGUUGACAAGCGUCCUCGCACAGCAGACGACCUUGGUGAACCGGCUCUUGCAGCGCACCGAGAUGCAACUUGCCCCAUACGAGGUGUCCCGAAGUAGGACAAUGGCAGACAAAGAACCUUUCCAGCAGCGUCCCGGUAAGCAGCCACUCGACCAGCCACGAACCGAGCGUUCAGGCAGUAUACACUCCUGAUUGGGCCCCCGAGAUAACGUAUACUUCCGUCUUAGAACGCGGAGGAGCGUGCACUCUCGACGAGGCCGACAGAAGAGCAUACAUUCACGGUUAGGAUCACACUCCGAUAGUCAACAUGAGCAGCCUUCCAGGCGAAGUGUUCAUUUGCGGCUAAGCCCGCAAGGAGCAUCAUCCACCUCACAUCGGAGUAGGCAGCCCGACGAAUGGAGAGAAGCAGUCACUCAAUACGGCUUAAGUGCAACCGGCAGCCUGCGAAGAACUCGCUCACCUGCUAGGAAUGCACUGCAUCCAGGGCAUAGACAAGCCAAACACAUGGAAGAGCAGCCUAGACCAGCAAGUCACGGUUGGAGGCAGCUGAGAGCUCCGUUACCCCAACAAAAACAAAUUCAGGAAGAAGUAGAGAGACUAUUGACCAAGCGAUUGCGUAAUUUCCAACGCAAUGAGGUCAUCGACGAGGCACUACGACGAAACAUGACCAACAUAAGCAGGUCACCCUUCACGGACAAGAUCGAGCAGGCAGAGCCUCCACGCGAGUUCAGCAUGCCACAUUUCACAUCUUUCAAAGGGGAUGAAGACCUGGAAAGACACUUAAAGCACUACCGAAGCGCAAUGAUCCUCUAUCGAAACAACGGCGGUCUCAUGUGCAAGAUAUUCGCCACCACUCUACAAGGCAAGGCGCAAGAUUGGUUCUACACCCUGCCGCCACAAUCUAUCUGGAAUUUUGACAAACUUUCUUUGGUUUUCACCAAAAAAUAUUCAUCCUAUCGCUCGAUAAAAAAGAAGUCCGACCAUUUGUUCGACGUUAAGAAAAACCCAAAUGAGUCGCUUCGAGACUAUGUGAGGAGGUUCAAAACAGAGAAUGCAAAAAUAGUCGGAUGUAACGACUCGAUAGCUAAAGCAGCCUUCCAAAAAGGACUUCCAGCAAACCACCCACUAUUCAGAAAACUAAUAAUGAAAGAAGAUCUAACUCUGGCAGACUCUUUCGCUCUGGCAGAAAAGCAUGCACUUUGGGACGAAGUUCGGCGAUCUUGAAUAUGAAGUUCCCCACUACUCUGAAGGAGAUUCAAAGUUUGACUGGACGAGUAGUCACAUCUGAAGCAGAAAUAAGCUCUACCAUCAUACGAGAAGAGCUGGGGGCCCGACUACCUAUAUUCCACAAUUUAAAAGCUCUCCUCGAUGCUAUUAGUUGUAUUCAACAGUUUAAAAGCUCUUAUUGAUGUUAUCAGAAAUUCAAAAGCUAACUUUGGCAAUAGUUGUUGUAACCUAAAAGCUCAAGUUUUACCUUCAAACGCACGCAGUCAUCAUCAUGAUGUACCAUUCUGCCGAAUCCAGACGUGCGACGAUAAAGGAGUAGACCUUAGUGGAUGCAAAGCUUUCUGACGAACAUAACAACUCAGCCUAAAAGACACGCCAAGGGCAGAAGAACAUUGGAAGGAACACUCAGAAACAAGUUUUGUCCUCGUCGUUCCAGAAGAUUCUACACAGGAGCAACAUGUACCGGCAGUGGAACACUACCUUCUGCUGUGCGUCACACGGCCCUAGCCGACCCUUACUCCAUUAUUCAGCUCUAUAGUGGCCCAAUAUCGAAAUUUAAGCAUUUCCUGCUACAUGUAACAUGGCCCUAGCUCCACGGCUCCCUGCCGAGCCUUCACGCCUAGCCUUGACAACGCAACAGAGCAGCCUAACGACGCCCCGAAGGCAGUCGAGCACACUUUAUCCGCACCUACUCCCUCAAUGGAGAUUUCUGGCAUUUGCAUGUCAACGGCUCAUCCAACUACAAAGGUUUGCGAGCAGUCGUGGUUCUUAUCACCCCAAACAGUUCAAUGCUCGAGCAGGCGAUCACUCUAAGUUUCAAAGCAUCUAACAACGAAGCAGAGUACGAAGCCCCACUAGCAGGCCUUCGAAUGACAAAAGACUUGGCGGUGAAAAAGCUUUCAAUUCAUUCUGAUUCCCAGCUAAUCACCAGCCAGACUACUAGGGGCAAAGGCAUGAUGAUCGUGGCAACCGACUACUUCACUAAAUAGGUAGAAGCAGAGCCCAUGACAACCACGAUUCAGACGGACAUAAAGCGCUUCAUAUGGAGGAACAUCAUUUAUCGAUUUGGCAUCCCUUAAUCCAUCGUCACCAACGACGACCCGUAAUUCGUGCGCAAAGAUUUGGCGAAGUUCUUCCAAAAAUAUGGCAUAAAGCAGCAUAUGUCAACGCCGAGAUAUCCUCAAGGCAACAGGCGGGCCGAAACAUCCAAAAGAUGAUCCUCAACUGCCUCAAGAAAUCCAUCACCAACAAGAAGGGAAGAUGGCCAGACGAACUCCCUAGAUGUCUAUAGGCAUAUCGCACCACCAAAAGAAGAGUAACCGAAAGGAGAUGGCCACAAGCUUAAAUCUGGCAGAGGAAAAGUGCGAACAAACUAUCACCUGCAUCGCAGCUUACCAGCAGUAGUUCCUUUCCAGCUACAACAAAAGGGCCAAGAUCCGGCAGUUCCAGCCCAAAGAUCUAGUCCUAAGAAAAGCCUUCAUCAUUGCCCUCAAAGAAAGCUCCAAAAAGAUGGAUCUCAUCUGGGAAGGUCCGUACAAGCUCAGCAGAAUAGGCGGCAAGAGUAAUUACACCCUCGCCACCAUGAAACGAUAAAAAGAUCGAAAAGUAGUGGAGUGCCUACAAUCUGAAGAAGUACCAUGUGUGACCUCCCACAACAUCAAAGCCCGAAGACUCAAGAAGUUCAACGGGCAUCACCUCACAAGUCGAAGAUUAUUCAGUUGUUAUGCAGUUCCUACCUUACAGCUAAGUUCUCGUUCGUUUCACUCGUUUUUCAAUGAGGAAUUCAGAAGUAAUCACAACUUGGCUCGGCUACAUGCUUACAACAACUGAUCACUCAUGCACUUCAAAAGAAGACUGCGCCAUUCUUAGGGACUCAUCGCAGGAAUUGCGCCCCCCGAGGGACCAACCAUGCUCUCCAAUGCGAGAGGGUAAACUAAUUGCUCUCCAGUGCGAGAGGGUAAACCAAUUCCCCGACACCCACAUGGGUCAGCUCUCAAAGACGGGAGGAUAAACUCUACACUCCGAAUAUCCAGACGUGGAUGAGCCUGGCUGCCCUGGUAUAACUAGAUGCACGAUGGCUUGUGCCGGGAUAACUAGAAGUAGCCACAAUAGACUUUUUCAAGGCUUAGCUAACUGAAGAAUUUUGGGUCUCUUGGCCUAAUCCGCGGGGAACCGGGCCCUAGAGACAGAGGGGGCACAUUACGCAGUACGCCCUAUAGACAGCUACCCUGGAAACCCUAAAGCUGCUACCGAGUGCACUAAGGUAGCCUACGGAUUCCGGAAGACUGCCUACGGCUUGCCCUUCGAGCAGUAAAGUCGCAUUAGACUUAUACAACCGCACAUUCUUGUGAAAGGUUAAACAAGCUAGCGCGCAUAUACGAAGUUUUAUCCACUAUCGACAUGCUACGUAGUCGAUAAGCUUCACCUCUGCCAAGCGCGGAACAACCUACACCAAGUCCUAAAGUGUUGUGAUACUUGCUACGCAACCUACGGAAUUGAAGAAAGUCAAGGUUAACAGCCUAGUGGUUACGCGGACUUGUCUGCUUCUGUAAGUAAGGCAUCCGGCUGCCAACCCUAUGGCUAACAACUUUGCAAAGUUCUACACUAACACCUACGGCUGCAUAGGCUACGCGAGCUUGUUUGCUUAUAAAAAAGUAGCAUGCCUGUCACUGGUCUAUCAAGUCUAAAGGGUAGGGCAUGAACAAAAGAAGCGAAGAUGAAGAAGAACGAAGGAAAACAUGUUUAUAAACAACUAGCAAAGGCCGAAAGAGUUCAAGCAAAACAAGAGCUACAAGGAAAAACAAAGAAAAUCCUAAAGGCUACCUAGAAUACUACACUACAGCAGCUUGGACAUCCCACAACUACUCGAUCGCCACACCUUCAGUAGCCGUAACGCUCUUAGCAGCGGCAUCAUCCGGAGCUUUACCCUCGGCUGCCCCAGCCUGGGCACUAACUUCUCCAACUACUUCACCAAUGGAAGCCUUAGUGGAUUUCUCACAGCUGACUACGCGAGCAGUCUCCUCAUUCCCAACAGGCGAAUCAGUUUCAGCAGCAUAAAGAAUGGGCCUUGGUGCCACUUUAGCAAUAGAGUCCACCUUAUCGCUUUUUAUAAUAGCAAGCCUCUCCAAAGGUGAACCAGACUUAGCUCCCAACAAACGUCUUGGUACAAAAUUCAGCACUAAGGGCAUGGCAAGACCUUUAUGCCGAACAAUCCUAUCAGCAAUCGCACUAGCCAUUCUUGACAUGGCAGGCGCCACAUGCUCAGAUCUAGCAGCCUCAUUUUUCGUCCCCUUGGAAAAAGUCAAGUCAAUCACAAGCCUGGAGGCAGUCGGCGAACCAACGUGAGCAGCGAAAUAAGUCUUUGGUUUUUUUCUCAGCCGGCAUCUCUUGAGCAAGCAGAGAAGAUCCCUUUUCCCACCUUCACUUGCAGCAGGAUCCACAACAGUGAUUGGACGAGCCAAUGCAUCCGCUUUGAUCUUAUUCACCUCCUCUUUUGGGAGCAGCCCACGUUUCUCCUGACGAAGAGAGUUAAAGUAGCCAACGUCAUUCGUGGUACUUAGCAAGGGAGUUCAACCCAACAUUUCAGUAGCUCAUGAGGUCCGCAACCUCUUCAUUUCUCUCAAUCAUCGGCCUAGAUCGCGUAAUGUCCAAAAGCCUAAAAGGACAUGAGCCAUGUGACUUGCCUAGCACUGCGCCCCAGUCACACAAGCUACCCUUUGUUUUAGCCAAGUCAAGCAGCUUAAAGCAGUGGUCCCUGCCACGAUGCCUUAUCGGCCCAUGCCGAGCCGACUCCUGGCCCCUGUCAGCCGACGUGCCGCACCACCCCGAUGACUGCCCCACAAUAGCACUAUCCAAGAAGAAGACAAGAAAAAAUUAAAUUUUUCUUACAUCGGUGCGGCACGGAGAAGACGAAGAAAUCAAUGAAAUAUCCUCUAAGCUCUCUCUCUCUUGUAGGGUAGAAUAAAUCGCUCUCCAAAGUUGAUUUAACAACCCACUUAAGGUGGACUUAAAUAGGCUUUGAGAGAAAUUUAUUUCCCUUUCCUAGAAGGAUCUAAUUUCUUAUUAAAGAGAGAAUCUACAUCAAAACAGGAAGCAGUCCUAAGUUUCCUAAAAGCAAGGAAAUCUCUACACCUGCUAUCCUUUCCUGCGAGCAGCCCAACAGGUGUAGGGGCAUUUGUGGAGCCAAAAAUAAUCACAAGGCGACACGUGGAUUUUUGGGUAAAAGAGGACAAAAAUACCCUUGAGGCAUACCGAGAUUCCUACGCGCGAGCGGCGGACAAUCAUCCUCAACCAAGUCAAAAAUGCUCCAAAAAAGGUAACCAAUUCCAAUUUAUCUCAUCCAUCCUCAUUAUAGGUAAUUACUUCAUAACCUAUAAGUUAUCCCAUAAAAUAGAGAUUAAUUGGCUAAUUAAUGAAUUAAUUCCUAAUUAAUUCAUUAAUCACCAAAUUUAUCACCCAAUUAACCACAAAAUACAUCCAAUUCAACCCUAAAGCUAGUCAAAACCGGUCACCAUCAUUUCUCUUUACCUUUUUCCAUUUUUCCCUCUUUAUUAUCCCAUUUAUGCAAAUUAAUCAAUUUGGUAACCACCAAUUUAUU
rnacentral:lncRNA from 1 species